ensembl:lncRNA
UGUCUAUCCACCUUAUGGUAACCUGUGUUUUGUGGGAAAAGUGUCUGAUGCAACAAUCCUUCUGACCACAUGUCACUUUUCAGAGGUUGCUCUUCAGCCAGUCACAGAAGAGGUGGUGGUCCCAUCCACCAAUUGGGUGACAGAUGAGAAGGAAGUGUUGGAACACAAUGGGACAGAACGAUCCGUGAGUCCACCGGGAAGAGACGAAGAAGGUUUUCCAGAAUUGGCUGUUUGUCAUUUGGAAGAAGAGGAGGAAGAGGAGGACAUGUUGAAGAGAAUGAAGAACAGGAGAUAAUAGAGAAUGGAAAAGAAGUACGGCAAGCCUACUCAACAGACUCAUGUUGGCUCACAGAAGAUGUGUAGAUGGAACAAAGCCUCAAAAAAUUUGACAUUUCACACAGACAGGGGUCCUUUGUGAUCAUCUGUCAAUGUUUUUUCAGAUUUCCCUGGAUAGAGAGAUGUAUUAGAGCUCUCUGACUACCAAGCAGAUCCGUUUCUAACAUCC